UACAGAGGGGGCAAGCGUUGUUCGGAAUUACUGGGCGUAAAGGGCGCGUAGGCGGUUCGAUAAGUCUGCUGUGAAAGUCCAGGGCUCAACCCUGGGAUGCCGGUGGAUACUGUCGGGCUAGAGUGCGGAAGAGGCGAGUGGAAUUCCUGGUGUAGCGGUGAAAUGCGCAGAUAUCAGGAGGAACACCAAUUGCGAAGGCAGCUCACUACACAAUCAAUUGACUCGUGAGGCACGAAAGCGUGGGGAUCAAACAGG
rnacentral:rRNA from 1 species